UACGUAGGGCGCAAGCGUUAUCCGGAAUUAUUGGGCGUAAAGAGCUCGUAGGCGGUUUGUUGCGUCGGCUGUGAAAUCCCGAGGCUCAACCUCGGGUCUGCAGUCGAUACGAGCAAACUAGAGUGUUGCAGGGGAGACUGGAAUUCCUGGUGUAGCGGUGAAAUGCGUAGAGAUCAUGAGGAAGACCAGUGGCGAAGGCGGGUCUCUGGACAGUUCCUGACACUGAGGCACGAAGGCCAGGGGGGCAAACGGG
rnacentral:rRNA from 1 species